CAUGUCGGAUCAGGAGGCAAAAAUUCAACUGAGGAUUUGGGGGAUAAGAAAGAAGGAGAAUGAAUUAAAUACAAAGUAAUUGGACAGGAUAGCAGUGAGAUUCACUUCAAAGUGAAAAAUGACAACACAUCUCAAGAAACUCAAAGAAUCACACUGUCAAAGACAGGGAGUUCCAAUGAAUUCACUCGGGUUUCUAUUUGAAGGUCAGAGAAUUGCUGAUAAUCAUACUCCAAAAGAACUGGAAAUGGAGGAAGAAGAUGUGAUUGAAGUUUAUCAGGAACAAACCAUUCAACGGUUUAGAUAUUCUUUUAUUUUUUUAUUUUCCCUUAAUCAUUUUUUAUUAAAAAAAAUAGUUCUUUUGUAAUAUGGUGUUCAAAUGGAAUUGAAAACUGGCACCCAUCUCUUUAAAACAUCUGGUAAUUUGAAUUCUAGCGCUCAUUAUUCAUUAUUGUUUGUUUUCAUUGUGCUGAGUUUUUGGUGAUCAAACCUUAGCUCCCUUCAUAUUGACCUCUCCUUUUAAAAAAU
rnacentral:lncRNA from 1 species